GUUCUUACAUUUUUUUUACAUUUUUAGUCAUUUAGCAGACGCUCUUAUCCAGAGCGACUUACAGCAGUGAAUGCAUACAUUUCAUUCUCCGUACUGGUCCCACGUGAGAAUCGAACCCACAACCCUGGCGUUGCAAACACCAUGCUCUACCAACUGAGCCACACAGGACUUUCAGUUUUGUACAUCAAAUCAAGUAAAAUCAAACAUACACGUGGUUAGCAGGUGUUAUUGGUCACAUGGUUAGCAGAUGUUAUUGGUCACAUGGUUAGCAGAUGUUAUUGGUCACAUGGUUAGCAGGUGUUAUUGGUCACAUGGUUAGCAGGUGUUAUUGGUCACGUGGUUAGCAGAUGUUAUUGGUCACAUGGUUAGCAGAUGUUAUUGGUCACAUGGUUAGCAGGUGUUAUUGGUCACAUGGUUAGCAGGUGUUAUUGGUCACAUGGUUAGCAGGUGUUAUUGGUCACAUGGUUAGCAGAUGUUAUUGGUCACAUGGUUAGCAGGUGUUAAUGGUCACAUGGUUAGCAGGUGUUAUUGGUCACAUGGUUAGCAGAUGUUAUUGGUCACAUGGUUAGCAGGUGUUAUUGGUCACAUGGUUAGCAGGUGUUAUUGGUCACAUGGUUAGCAGAUGUUAUUGGUCACAUGGUUAGCAGGUGUUAUUGGUCACAUGGUUAGCAGAUGUUAUUGGUCACAUGGUUAGCAGAUGUUAUUGGUCACAUAGUUAGCAGGUGUUAAUGCGAGUGUAGCGAAAUGCUUGUGCUUCUCGUUCCGACACCAGUUUCAAACAGCUGAAAAUAAUAUUUUUGGUUAUUGAAAAUAUAUUUCACAGAAAUGUAGAAGGUAGAAUGAGUCUACACUAUACCAGAUUAAUGUAGAAGGUACAAUCACUCUCUACACUAGAUUAAUGUAGAAGGUACAAUCACUCUACCAGAUUAAUUUUGUCACAUAAACUGAAAUUAACUAUUAAGAGUUUAAGCAACCAGGAAAUGAUUGAGCAAUGUCUGCAUAGUGCAACUUUGAGUUGUACUAGUUGUAUGUACAGAUAUAUAAAUGGUAGACGUCGUACAACGAAAUGCUUUACUUUCAUAACACUAAUCAGCUAUUAGCUUGUUAUAGUACACAGCUAUGUGACACAGAUAGUAAACAGAAUAGUGAGUUUCCACAACAGCUGACUGAGAGAGUGUUGAAGUGUGAGGCUCAACUUCUCAACUGGUUUAGUCCCCUGGCUACCAUGUUGUGAGAGUGAGAGUGUUGCGUCUCUCUCAUCGUAAUAUCUGCGGUGUUGCUGC
rnacentral:lncRNA from 1 species